rnacentral:rRNA from 1 species
CCAGACUCCUACGGGAGGCAGCAGUGGGGAAUAUUGCACAAUGGGGGGAACCCUGAUGCAGCGACGCCGCGUGGGUGAAGGAGCACCUCGGUGCGUAAAGCCCUAUCGGCAGGGAAGAAACAGACGGUACCUGACUAAGAAGCCCCGGCUAACUACGUGCCAGCAGCCGCGGUAAUACGUAGGGGGCAAGCGUUAUCCGGAUUCACUGGGUGUAAAGGGAGCGUAGACGGCCAAGCAAGCCAGGGGUGAAAGCCCGGGGCCCAACCCCGGGACUGCCCUUGGAACUGCUUGGCUGGAGUGCGGGAGGGGCAGGCGGAAUUCCUGGUGUAGCGGUGAAAUGCGUAGAUAUCAGGAGGAACACCGGCGGCGAAGGCGACCUGCUAGAACAUAACUGACGCUGAUGCGCGAAAGCGUGGGGAGCAAACAGGAUUAGAUACCCCCGUA